rnacentral:pre_miRNA from 1 species
AAAAAGGCAAACCCUGAGUUUUCAUGUCCAACUUUGACUGUCCGUCUUAUAUGAAAUUUUUUUAUAAUUCGUAUUUCCAUUGUUGUUAGAUGAUAAAACAUGAUUAAUAUUUUAUACGUGACUUGUCUUUUUAAUUUUUUUUAUAAUUUUUUCAAAUAAGACGGACGGUCAAACAUUGAGCACGAAAAAUAGGGUUUGUCUUUUU